UACAGAGGUCUCAAGCGUUGUUCGGAUUCAUUGGGCGUAAAGCGCGUGUAGGCGGCUCGGUAAGUCUGCUGUGAAAGUCCAGGGCUCAACCCUGGAAUGCCGGUGGAAACUGUCGAGCUAGAGUCCGGAAGAGGCGAGUGGAAUUCCUGGUGUAGCGGUGAAAUGCGCAGAUAUCAGGAGGAACACCAAUGGCGAAGGCAGCUCGCUGGGACGGUACUGACGCUGAGACGCGAAAGCGUGGGGAGCGAACAGG
rnacentral:rRNA from 1 species